GAUGAGCGCUAGCGGCAGGCUUAAUACAUGCAAGUCAAGGGGGUAGCAAUACAACCGGCGCACGGGUGAGUAACACGUACACAACAUACCAUAUACUGAGGUAUAGCUUCGGGAAACUGAAGGUAAUCCCUCAUAGUAUUGUGAAAGGGCAUCUUUUUACAAUUAAAGUUUCGACGAUAUGUGAUUGGUGUGCGUUUGAUUAGCUAGUUGGUAGGGUAACGGCCUACCAAGGCAACGAUCAAUAGCUGGCGUGAGAACGCGACCAGCCACACUGGAACUGAGACACGGUCCAGACUCCUACGGGAGGCAGCAGUAGGGAAUAUUGGACAAUGGGCGAAAGCCUGAUCCAGCCAUGCCGCGUGAUAGAUGAAGGCCCUCUGGGUUGUAAAGAGCUUUAGACUGGGAAGAAACCACUUCUCGUGAGAGGUGUUGACGGUACCAGUAGAAUAAGCACCGGCUAACUCCGUGCCAGCAGCCGCGGU
rnacentral:rRNA from 1 species